rnacentral:rRNA from 1 species
UAAUGCUGGUGGUAUGCAUAACACAUGCAAGUUGAACGAAGAGGGCUUGCCCUCUUAGUGGCGAACGGGCGAGUAACGCAUAUUUAACUUACUUACGCGAGGAGAAUAGCAAUCCGAAAGGGUUAUUAAUAUUUCAUAGGUUUAAGACUUAAAUUAAAGGGGGCGUUCCUUCGGGAGCCCCGCGCGUAAAUAGGAAUAUGUCCUAUUAGGUUGUUGGUAGGGUAAAUGCCUACCAAGCCGUUGAUGGGUAGCUGGGCUGAGAGGCCGACCAGCCGCAAUGGGAUUGAAAUAUGGCC